rnacentral:snRNA from 1 species
CCGCACACUUUCUGCUUUAUGGU